rnacentral:rRNA from 1 species
GAUGAACGCUGGCGGCGUGCCUAAUACAUGCAAGUCGAGCGAACAGACGAGGAGCUUGCUCCUCUGACGUUAGCGGCGGACGGGUGAGUAACACGUGGAUAACCUACCUAUAAGACUGGGAUAACUUCGGGAAACCGGAGCUAAUACCGGAUAAUAUUUUGAACCGCAUGGUUCAUUAGUGAAAGACGGUUUUGCUGUCACUUAUAGAUGGAUCCGCGCUGCAUUAGCUAGUUGGUAAGGUAACGGCUUACCAAGGCGACGAUGCAUAGCCGACCUGAGAGGGUGAUCGGCCACACUGGAACUGAGACACGGUCCAGACUCCUACGGGAGGCAGCAGUAGGGAAUCUUCCGCAAUGGGCGAAAGCCUGACGGAGCAACGCCGCGUGAGUGAUGAAGGUCUUCGGAUCGUAAAACUCUGUUAUUAGGGAAGAACAAAUGUGUAAGUAACUAUGCACAUCUUGACGGUACCUAAUCAGAAAGCCACGGCUAACUACGUG